rnacentral:tRNA from 1 species
AAGUGAGAAGCGAUUAAUUGCAAUCAAUUUCGACUUGGUCCUAGGUGAAAUCACCCUCACUUG